rnacentral:lncRNA from 1 species
CUGCCUGAGUGAAAUGUUGUUUUUUGGAAAAUGACGCUUUUAGCGUCUUGUUCCAACACUGCUGACCUGAACUUCCAUUACAUUUCUCUGCCUUCCGCGCUUGGUUUCGUAUAUUUUCUUCCCCAUUACAUUUCUCCGCCUACCGCGCUUUGGUUUCGUAUUUACUAUUUUACAUACAAACUGGAAUCUGCUUGUAUUAUCAUGUGUAGUAAUAUAAUCAACCGGGAACCAGUUUACAUACCUCCGGACCUAUUACCAAAAAGAUCGAAGUGUACCAACCAAUGUAGUUAAGAUACUCAUAAAUCUAUUUUUAUAACUUUAUUGAUUAUGUGAAGUAAAACUAAAACAUUGUUUAAACAUCAAAGAUAUGUAAUUAACCGGGGAAUACUUGAUAGUCUUUUCGUUUUAAAAAAAACUGCCUUUUUUAUAAGAAAAUAUAAUAUGUCCGUGUUGGUCCACUUUCUACUAGUUAUAAGACAGAUCGAAGUACCGGAAAUCCAUCUUUGUUUACAAAGUUACACCUGUAGAGUCUGUAACAGACUGUAUCUGUAUGACAUGUGAAUAAAUUGUCGAUAUAGAUGCUUUAAUAAAACGGUUUGAGAGAGCGCCGCCGAUUUAUUGGCGGGGCGGGAGAACAGAUUUGAAGCUCUCUACGUUUGAUGCGUGCACAACAGUGUCGUCAUAGCUGAUUCGGCGCGAUCACUGUCUUACAAAGGAUGAGUUUGCAUAAUGUACGGUGUUUUACUUAGUGGAAUGUCAAUAAACUCACAGUAAGAGUUAUUCUUUACUUGCUUUUCGAUUGUUUUCCACAAUAAUUGUUGCGUGGUAUUCUUUGAAUUUCUCUGCAGUUAUGGUUCUCUUUGGACAUGCUUUUUUGAGGAAUUUGUCUGGUUCAAUAGCGUAAAUCAGCCCCUCAACUACUUUUUACAUAAAUACUAACUUUGGCUUCAACUCCUUGUUCGUCCUUGUCUGGAGAUCUUGUUGAAUUUCCAGUUUGGCAAGCAUUUUGGAGACUAUCCAUCCUCUCUUAACUUGUAAUCUCUGGUGAUAAAUUUUGCCACUUGACAUGUUUUAUUUUGUUACCGGGUAUGGUUCCCAUACUAUCGUUCCAUAUUAAAUAAUGAGAUCAAUUCCUAAAGGUCUAGUUCAUUAUCCAAUCUGACACAAAUUUCAAUAACUGGAAUGCCACCCAAGUUGAAUAUAUGAUGACCCACUAUAACAGCAUAAUUACUUGGAAUUGUAUUUAAUACCAUGAUGGUUCAAAAGCAUAAACUUAAAUGGAGACAGAAAUUUGACAUGAAAGAUUGUGGAUUAGUGUAAAUUAAAAAUUAGCUUACUAUGAUAUGGUUAAAGCAUGUAAAGAAUGAAUAUCAAAUUGAGCAGAGUUGUUAUAAAAUAUCAAUAUGGCAGAUGAGUGGUUUCAAGUUUCAUAUAAAGGGACCUGACUGACGUGAAAUAAAAAAUCAAAGGAGUAUCCCUAUUUGUCUAAUCUUCAAGGUGAAAUAAGACAAGUAUAACAAUAUUAUGCUAUUGUAUAAAUCUACAGAAAUAGAAUUUGCUUCAAGUAACAGAAAUAACUAUGUCACUAGUAACUUAUUAAAUGAGUAUGUGGGUAAUUAGUCCUAUAACAUAUGACCUCGGGAGCAUUAUUUACUAUUUCUAUUUACUGUUCUGAUAUUUUUUUUUUACUAUCAUUGUGUCACACUUCGCAUUCAAAAUUAAAAAAAAUAAUGAAAAUAUCAGUAUAAAAACGUUAAAAAUUUAAUUUGAAUGCGAAGUCAUAUGUUAUAGAACUAGUGGGGUAUAAGAGCUUGUUACAACAGGCUCUUCAUAAUCAUUUUGGUUGAAAGGAUACUAAUCCACUUGUAUUUUUGUCCGUCUGAUGAGUUAAGCCUUUUUCAACUGAUUUUUAUACGAUCGCAAAUUUUGAAAAAAUUUUCGUCGUAUAUUGCUAUCACGUUGGCGUCGUCGUCGUCGUCGUCGUCCGAAUACUUUUAGUUUUCGCACUCUAAAUUUAGUAAAAGUUAAUAGAAAUCUAUGAAAUUUUGACACAAGGUUUAUGACCACAAAAGAAAGAUUGGUAUUGAUUAUGGGAGUUUUGAUUUCAACAGUUUAGGAAUUAGGGGCCAAAAAAGGGCCCAAAUAAGCAUUAUUCUUGGUUUUUGCACAAUUUCUUUAGUGUAAGUGAAUAGAAAUCAAUGAAAUUUAAACACAAUGUUUAUGACCACAAAAGGAAGGUUGGUAUUGAUUUUGGGAGUUUAGGUCCCAACAGUUUAGGAAUUAGGGGCCAAAAAGGGACCCAAAUAAGCAUUUUUCUUGGUUUUCGCACCAUAACUUUAGUAUAAGUAAAUAGAAAUCUAUGAAAUUUGAACACAAGGUUUAUGACCUUAAAAAGAAGGUUGGUAUAGAUUUUGGGAGUUUUGGUCCCAACAGUUUAGGAAUAAGGGGCCCAAAGGGUCCAAAAUUAAACUUUGUUUGAUUUCAUCAAAAAUUGAAUAAUUGAAAUUCUUUGAUAUGCCGAAUCUAACUGUGUAUGUAGAUUCUUAAUUUUUGGUCCCGUUUUCAAAUUGGUCUACAUUAAGGUCCAAAGGGUCCAAAAUUAAACUUAGUUUGAUAUUGACAAAAAUUGAAUCGGUUGGGUUCUUUGAUAUGCUGAAUUUAAAAAUAUACUUAGAUUUUUGAAUGUUGGCCCAUGCAGUUUUCAAGUUGGUCCAAAUCGGGGUCCAAAAUAAAACUUUGUUUGAUUUCAUCAAAAAUUGAAUAAAUGGGGUUCUUUGAUAUGCCAAAUCUAACUGUGUCUAAUUCAAAAUUAUCACAUUAAGUAUUGUGGAAUAGCAAGAAAUUUUCAAUUGCACAGUAUUGCACAACAGCAAGAAAUAUCAAAUUGCACAAUAUUGUGCAAUAGCAAUUUUUUUUUUCAAUUGGAGUUAUCUUUCUUUGUAUAGAAUAGUAGUUGAAUCAACUUUAAUCAUUGUUUUAUACAAUAUACAAUGUAUUUUCAUUUUUACUACCAACUGAUAAAUUAAAACAAUCUUUACCAUUCAAUGAUAACAAGCACUUUUUAUAACAUUUUAAUAUUGUAUGAUGUAUUUAAAUGAGCAGUUAUUGUUGCAAACUCCAUUAGAAAUUUGAAUUGAAAUCAGUACAUUAUAACUUUAGUAUAAGUGAAUAGAAAUCUAUGAAAUUUAAACACAAGGUUUAUGACCAUAAAAGGAAGGUUGGUAUUGAUUUCGGGAGUUUUGGUCCCAACAGUUUAGGAAUUUGGGGCCCAAAGGGUCCAAAAUUAAACUUUGUUUGAUUUUGACAAAAAUUAAAUCCUUGGGGUUCUUUGAUAUGCUGAAUCUAAAAAUGUACUUAGAUUUUUAAUUAUUGGCCCAGUUUUCAAGUUGGUCCAAAUCGUGGUCGAAAAUUAAACUUUGUUUGAUUUCAUCAAAAAUUGAAUAAAUGGGGUUCUUUGAUAUUCCAAAUCUAACUGUGUAUGUAGAUUUUUAAUUUUUGGUCCAGUUUUCAAAUUGGCCUACAUUAAGGUCCAAAGGGUCCAAAAUCAUAAUGUGACAUAAACCUAUGUUGUGUCAACUAUUUAAUCACAAUCCACAUUUAAAGCUGUAUCAAACUUAAAAGUUGUGUCCAUACUUGUCCCAUCUGUUCAGGGUUAUACAUCUGCGGUCGUAUAAUGCUGCGCCCUGCGAAGCAACUGGUUAUAGUUUGUUCUUAUGUUGUACUGUUAUACCACUGUCCCAGGCUAGGGGGAGGGUUGGGAUCCCGCUAACAUGUUAACCCCGCCACAUUAUUUAUGUAUGUGCCUGUCCUAAGUCAGGAGCCUGUAAUUCAGUGGUUGUCGUUUGUUUAUGUGUUACAUAUUUGUUUUUCGUUCAUUCUUUUACAUAAAUAAGGCCGUUAGUUUUCUCGUUUGAAUUGUUUUACAUUGUCUUAUGGGGCCUUUUUAUAGCUGACUAUGCGGUAUGGGCUUUGCUCAUAGUUGAAGGCCGUACGAUGACCUACAGUUGCUAAUGUCUGUGGCAUUUUCGUCUUUUGUGGAUAGUUGUCUCAUUAGCAAUGAUACCACAUCUUCUUUUUUUUUUUAUAGUUUUUUUUUUAUAGUAGUCUGUAUUCUUGAUUUAGAAAAAUGUAAUUGCAAGAAAAAAAUUACACAUUACUUAGAGUACUUUAGAUCAUUCAGGUAGUCUUUGUUUAGUAUGUACAAAAGAACAGCCAGUAGCCAUUUGAUAUUGUAGAUCAUUUAAAUAGUCUUGACCUUUUUAUUAGUACAAAAGAACAGCUAGUAAUCAUUGGAUAUUGUAGAUCAUUCCAGUAUUCUUGAUCACCUAUUUAUUUGUACCAAAAAAACCAGCCAGUAGUCAUUGGAUACUGUAGAUCAUUCAGGUAGUCUUGACCUAUUUAUUUGUACAAAAAAAACAGCCAGUAGUCAUUGGAUACUGUAGAUCAUUCAGGUAGUCUUGACUCUUGAUCUGUUCAUUUGUAUUAAAAAACCAGUCAGUUGUCAUCUUCACUUCACACACGCAUAUACGAAUAUCAAUUAUAUGCUUACGAGACAUGUUGCAAUGUUAAACUUAUUACGGUAUGUGAAAAUCAAGCCUGCAUAAAAAUAUCCCAAUAUUAGAGGCAGUGGUGUCAUUUUUCCUCAGAGCUUUCAGCUCUUUGAUUUUGUAUUGUUGUUGGGUUUUUUUUUUUGCGAUGGGGGUCGCUUCUUGUCUUUACUUUUCUGUACGGACAUUUGUUUAUAAUUUUGAUUAAUUGAAUUACAUGUUAUUAAUUAAAUGGCUUAGAUAUGUUACAAUUGUCGUAACCACAAUCCCGUCCUUGUUUCUUCGAAUGAGAGCUACCACAUUAGACUUACUACUUUAUCUGGUCUUAUAUGAG